rnacentral:rRNA from 1 species
GACGAACGCUGGCGGCGUGCUUAACACAUGCAAGUCGAACGGAAAGGCCCUGCUUUUGUGGGGUGCUCGAGUGGCGAACGGGUGAGUAACACGUGAGUAACCUGCCCUUGACUUUGGGAUAACUUCAGGAAACUGGGGCUAAUACCGGAUAGGAGCUCCUGCUGCAUGGUGGGGGUUGGAUAGUUUCGGCGGUUGGGGAUGGACUCGCGGCUUAUCAGCUUGUUGGUGGGGUAGUGGCUUACCAAGGCUUUGACGGGUAGCCGGCCUGAGAAGGUGACCGGCCACAUUGGGACUGAGAUACGGCCCAGACUCCUACGGGAGGCAGCAGUGGGGAAUAUUGCACAAUGGGCGGAAGCCUGAUGCAGCAACGCCGCGUGCGGGAUGACGGCCUUCGGGUUGUAAACCGCUUUCGCCUGUGACGAAGCGUGAGUGACGGUAAUGGGUAAAGAAGCACCGGCUAACUACGUG